GAACUCUUGACUCUCUUCAAAUCGCAUAAAUCUUUCGCCUUUUACUAAAGAUUUCCGUGGAGAGGGUUAACCAAUGAGUCUAAACCCAAUUUUUGGAAUGCUUGACGAAAGUCGGGCAC
rnacentral:snRNA from 1 species